GUGCAUUACAAGGGCAGGAGCUGAGAUAGCUACUGUGCUUUUCUACUCCAGUGCAGAUACCUGUUCUCAGAUCACUUCCUCCCAGUACUUGUGAACACUUCCUCUAAGUGCUGCAAUGUGUAAAUUCCGGAUUGUCCCUCACCACCGGCAAUCACCACUUGGUUUGCACUAGCAGAUAUCUGAAGUCCCACUGGAACUCCUUAUAGUCCAGAGCCUGUUUGAAUCUGGCAGCCUUGAAUGCCGUGCAAAGGCACCUUGAGUGCCAUAGGUCCCAGACCCCUGUAGUAAGAUAAAGUAGGCACUACUCCAGACAAAACACAUUGUAAUUGGGGAAAAUUCAUUGUCUAUAGAGGGUUUCGUGAGAUCCUCUAUAGACCUCAGUGUUGUACUCUAGCGCAUGUGUGAGAAUACAACAUAGACAUGGGCUCCUGAAAGAUGAAGCCUCAGGAGCUGAAGAGGACCCACUAAAUGAACAUGGGGCAGCCACAAUGUUUAAGAAAAUAAAACUAACCUUUCACUGCACCUUUCCAUAGCCACCACGCUGCAAGAGGAGCAUUCACCACAGUGGGACUUGCCAAAAUAUGCCUCUUUAAAAUGAUACUUGCCUCUAUGUACAAUAUUCAUGUUUUAGACAGUAGACUUUUUGACUAUAUAUAGAUAUAUUUGGUAACAUAUCAAUUGCAGCAUCAUUAUCCCAUCACAACUUCAGUUUUACUAAUAUAACAGUUUUCUUUUCAGGAAUAACUUGAGCCACAUUUUCAUGAUACAUGCUUUGUUACUUUCAGUAUUCACAUAUUACCCAAUAGACCUGGACCAUUCAUUAUCUUUACUUAUCUCACCAUAGGUUAAACAACAAAAUAAACUUCUUGUAACUUUGAAAGUUGUUUUAUACAAUCUAUGGCCACUCCAGGCACCAUAGCAACUUUUGUUACAUUGUCUGUUGUCUUUUCAAAGUUUAACCCCUUCAAGUAAGCCAGCAGAACCCAGGACCUUUUCACACCAUAACAUAACUGGUCCUUUAAACGAAUGCUUCAUCAUGCCUGACCACUUAAUGCAGGGUCUGAUUAGAUGCAACUUUAUCUAUCAUCAUAAGUGUAUAGAAGAAGUAAUUUUUGUUUGAUAAUAAUAUUUUAAGACCAGAAAAGAAAGACCCACAGGGUCAGAGUUAGGAAGCCCCUAAAUAG